rnacentral:misc_RNA from 1 species
UUUCCGUAUGUGAACCUGCGGAAGGAUCAUUAACACGUAUUAAAUUCUAUCAAACUAACCUGAGAACUUGUAUCUGCCAAAGACGCUUGAACCUUGUAAGAGGAUCGCUGAGGCCCAACAGCUCUAUUGAAGUCUGCUGCUAGGGGUCAAAGAACUCCUAUACUUGCUUUUGUUCUUCGGAGCAACGGUACUUGUGGAUGAUGUUCUCCUUAGUUAGUCUUCUUUAAGGCUUACCCACACGCCGGAGUAUCCAUUCCUCGGAAUGGAGAAACAUUGUGCCACUCUGUCAUUUCUAGUUCCUUGUAAGUUACUUUUACUAGGAGCUGGCCUCUCACUUCGACAAAGAUUUCAAGUGGCGAUCAGCUUGUAUAGCCCGCCUGCUUGGUCGAUAGAAUGAUGCUAGCUUUUAAAGUAGCCCAGGUUGAACUUAACUCUAGUAUAGAUCACCUAUAUUAGAGUAACAAAUCAAAUAAGAGAACAACUCUUAGCAAUGGAUAUCUUGGUUCUC